AGCUCCAAUAGCGUAUAUUAAAGUUGUUGCAGUUAAAAAGCUCGUAGUUGGAUUUCUGGUCUGAGCGUCCGGUCCGCCGCUGUGCGGUGUGUACUUGGUAUGACUCGGGCCUUCCUUGUAGGGAAUGUCUCUGGCAUUAAUUUGUCGGGGUCGGGAACUGCAUCGUUUACUGUGAAAAAAUUAGAGUGUUUAAAGCAGGCAUUUGCUGUGAAUACAUUAGCAUGGAAUAAUAAGAUAGGACUUUGGUUCUAUUUUGUUGGUUGGAGGCCAAGGUAAUGAUUAAUAGGGAUAGUUGGGGGUAUUCAUAUUUAAUUGUCAGAGGUGAAAUUCUUGGAUUUAUGAAAGAUGAACUUAUGCGAAAGCAUUUACCAAGGAUGUUUUCA
rnacentral:rRNA from 1 species